rnacentral:ncRNA from 1 species
UAAAACACAUAGAUCGGGAGCAGUAAAAGAACCAAAUCAGUAACAGAGAGCUGCGGGGUGGUGCGACGCAGUCUGAUUCUUCUUUGAACUCGCCCGGGAGUGGUAGGACAAAACGGAAUAGAAAGAAUAUUCCCUAUGUUUUAACGGGUAACCUACGUUAUGAGGUUCAAAAGCAGGAUUCUGUCACAAAAAGAAUCAACAAGAGUGGUACCGCGGUCAGCCAAAGGCUCGCCGUCUCUUUA